UAGCCGUAAACGAUACUCGCUAGGUGUCGGCCACGGUGCGACCGUUGUCGGUGCCGUAGGGAAGCCGUGAAGCGAGCCACCUGGGAAGUACGGCCGCAAGGCUGAAACUUAAAGGAAUUGGCGGGGGAGCACAACAACGGGUGGAGCCUGCGGUUUAAUUGGACUCAACGCCGGGAAGCUCACCGGAUAAGACAGCGGAAUGAUUGCCGGGCUGAAGACCCUGCAUGACCAGCUGAGAGGUGGUGCAUGGCGUCAGUGACU
rnacentral:rRNA from 1 species